rnacentral:rRNA from 1 species
UACGAAGGGGGCUAGCGUUGCUCGGAAUUACUGGGCGUAAAGCGCUCGUAGGCGGCUUUCUAAGUCGGGGGUGAAAUCCUGGAGCUCAACUCCAGAACUGCCUUCGAUACUGGAAAGCUCGAGUCCGGCAGAGGUGAGUGGAACUGCGGGUGUAGAGGUGAAAUUCGUAGAUAUUCGCAAGAACACCAGUGGCGAAGGCGGCUCACUGGCCCGGUACUGACGCUGAGGUGCGAAAGCGUGGGGAGCAAACAGG